AAAUUGAAGAGUUUGAUCAUGGCUCAGAUUGAACGCUGGCGGCAGGCCUAACACAUGCAAGUCGAACGGUAACAGGAAGCAGCUUGCUGUUUCGCUGACGAGUGGCGGACGGGUGAGUAAUGUCUGGGAAACUGCCUGAUGGAGGGGGAUAACUACUGGAAACGGUAGCUAAUACCGCAUAACGUCGCAAGACCAAAGAGGGGGACCUUCGGGCCUCUUGCCAUCGGAUGUGCCCAGAUGGGAUUAGCUAGUAGGUGGGGUAACGGCUCACCUAGGCGACGAUCCCUAGCUGGUCUGAGAGGAUGACCAG
rnacentral:rRNA from 1 species